GCGCCUGUAGCUCAGAUGGAUAGAGCGCUGGUCUCCGGAACCAGAGGUCGGAGGUUCGAACCCUCUCAGGCGCGCCA
rnacentral:tRNA from 1 species